GAUGAACGCUGGCGGCGUGCCUAAUACAUGCAAGUCGAACGAAACUUCUUUAUCACCGAGUGCCUGCACUCACCGAUAAAGAGUUGAGUGGCGAACGGGUGAGUAACACGUGGGCAACCUGCCCAAAAGAGGGGGAUAACACUUGGAAACAGGUGCUAAUACCGCAUAACCAUAGUUACCGCAUGGUAACUAUGUAAAAGGUGGCUAUACUACCGCUUUUGGAUGGGCCCGCGGCGCAUUAGCUAGUUGGUAGGGUAAAGGCUUACCAAGGCAAUGAUGCGUAGCCGAAUUGAGAGGUUGUUCGGCCACAUUGGGACUGAGACACGGCCCAAACUCCUACGGGAGGCAGCAGUAGGGAAUCUUCCACAAUGGGCGAAAGCCUGAUGGAGCAACGCCGCGUGGGUGAAGAAGGUCUUCGGAUCGUAAAACCCUGUUGUUAGAGAAGAAAGUGCGUGAGAGUAACUGUUCACGUUUCGACGGUAUCUAACCGGAAAGCCACGGCUAACUACGUG
rnacentral:rRNA from 1 species